AUGCCAUGGUGAGGACAUUUUCUCAGCAACUAUUUAUACCUAUCUCAUGCAUCAAGAACUGCUUCAUCAUCUAGUUGUUUGAAAUUACAGAUUUUAUUUCUAGACUU